GAGCUGUCCGGAUAACAUGUCUUGAUUUUUUUUAAAACAGCAAAAUCUUUAAUUUCGUUUUUUUUUUUUUCAAAGAUUUUCCUCAAGAUCCCACUCAGGGCUUUAAACGCACCAGACAGUAUCUAAUCUGAUCUGUGUAGUCCUGCAGUGGGAAGGAUGGCAUUUUGGGCCGCUGUCUUUGUCUGGACUGCAGUCUGGCCCUGCGCUUUGUCUGUGACUCGGUACUCCAUAGCGGAGGAGAUGGAGAGGGGAUCCGUUGUGGCGAAUCUCGCGGCGGAUCUGGGACUUGAGCUGGCAGGCUUGGCACAACGAGAGGUAAAACUCGACAUAUUCACCAACAAAAAAUAUCUGGACUUUAACAAAAAGACCGGCGAGCUGUACGUGGUGGAGAAAAUAGACCGGGAGUUCCUUUGUCCGGCGAAGCCCACGUCGUGUUUUCUAAAGCUCGAUUUCAUCAUAGAGAGCCCGCUGCGCAUCUUUAACAUAGAGCUCGGAAUAACGGACAUAAACGACAACGCGCCGCAUUUCCGAAGGGACCGAGUGGAGCUGGACGUGUCCGAAUCCGCCACGCCGGGGGAGAGGUUCUCUUUGCCCAACGCCGUGGAUCCAGAUGUUGGCAUUAACACGAUUAAAACCUACAAACUCAGCGCGAGCGAUCAUUUCACAAUAGAAAUCCAAACGGGCACAGACGGAACCCAGUAUGUGGAUUUGGUUCUGACCAGUCCUUUAGACCGCGAGGAGAAUGCUGCUCAUAAAUUAAUCCUGACAGCCGAGGAUGGAGGCGUCCCUGUGCGCUCAGGCACUGCCAACAUUAUAGUUAGAAUGCAGGACACUAAUGAUAAUCCUCCUCGCUUUGACAAGCCAGUUUACCUCAUUAACAUGACAGAAAAUACACCGAUAGGAACUUUAGUGACCAAGCUGAACGCUACAGAUCUUGAUGAGGGUUUGAAUUCAGAGAUAGUGUACUCAUUCACGCUUUACACGUCCGAAAAAACGCAAGACGUCUUUGCGCUGAACCCCAACACAGGAGAGGUGACAGUUAAAGGAACGAUCGAUUAUGAAGAUAUGAAAUUUUAUGAGAUGCACAUUGAAGCCAGGGAUAAAGGUGCGCACCCCCUGCUGGGGCAGUGCAAAAUGGUGGUUCAUGUCACGGACAUGAAUGAUAAUUAUCCGGAAAUCAACGUGCAGUCAGUGAAAAACACUGUAGCUGAAAAUAUAGCUGUUGGGAGCGUUAUUGCGCUGGUUGGGACAGGUGACCGGGAUAGUGGUAACAAUGGGAAAGUGAGUUUAUCAAUACACGAGGCCAUGCCUUUUAUUCUAAACAAAUCCAUCGACAGACCCACACAUUAUGAGCUCAUAGUGUCAGAGCCAUUAGAUCGCGAAAAGGUGGCAGAAUAUGUCAUCACCCUGAUUGUGACAGAUGCAGGAACACCGCCUUUAUCUGAUAAUGAGACGAUAACUGUGCAUCUGCUGGAUGUUAAUGACAAUGUUCCKCAGUUCCCCCAGUCUUUUUAUACUAUACGUGUGAUGGAGAAUAARGCCCCRGYAGCCCUGCUCAGCUCCCUCACUGCGUUUGACCCUGACCUCCAUGAAAACCAGUAUCUAGUUUAUUUCAUCCUGGAGAAGGAGAUKGCCAACACCUCCAUGUCCAUGUUGUUCUCCAUCAAUCCAGAGAACGGCAAUCUUUACGCUCUGAAAACUUUUGACUAUGAGAUUGAYCAGGAGUUUCUGUUCCACAUCGAGGCCAGAGACUCUGGUUCUCCUCCUCUCAGCAGCAARGUGACAGUUCACAUCGUCAUUGUGGACCAGAAUGACAACGCUCCAGUUAUUGUGUCUCCAUGGCGCGCACACGGCUCUCUGGUGGAGGAAAAGAUCCCCAGAUCCACUGAUAAAGGCUCKCUGGUUGCCAAYGUGAUCGCCUUGGACACYGACUCUGUGCACAACUCUCGGAUCACCUACCAGUUCCUCCAGGUGACUGARGCCUCCUUGUUCAGUCUGGACCAGUACAACGGAGAGAUCCGGACCAUGAGGAUGUUCAGCUACAAAGACCCYCGCCARRUCAGACUGGUUGUUGUUGCCAAGGACAACGGGGAGCCCGCUCUGUCUGCUACAGUCACCAUCAAGCUGCUGACAGUGGAGACUGCUGUUAAGGCCUACUCUGACAUGACUGAGAUGUCUCUGGAAUAUGACAUCUUUUCAGACAUCAACCUGUAUUUGGUGAUCGGUCUGGGCUCGGUGUCAUUUCUCCUGCUCAUCACCAUCCUGGUCACCAUCGUGCUCAAGUGUCAGAAAGCCAAGCCCAGCAAAGCUGCUCCUCCCASCAGGAACAGUGUGAUCAGUGAGAGGAACUCCACCAUCGCAGACUCCACUCUGGUGUCCAACGAUGCCUACUGGUACAGUCUGUUUCUAGCAGAGACCAGGAAAGGAAAGCUGGUGGUCAGYCAGCCUGUGCCAAAYGGCUCCAGGUACAUCGUGUCCAGUAUCCCCAGAGGGACAGGUCAUUCAGAGACCAGUGACUCUGCAGCUUCUACUCUGCAGUACCCUAAAUGAGGAAAGUCCACUCAGCAGCUGGAGAGGCUGUGUCUCAAUUCAUGGGCCAUGUGGGCCACAUCCUCCCUGGGCCACGUAGGCUGCUCAAAACUGCUGUGAAAUGAGAUGGUCUACCCUUCGCCUGACGUCUGUUUACUGAGGAUACACUGAUGCAUCUUCAGAUUUCGAGAGUUUGUCAGCCACAUGAUGAGGAGCCUUCUAACUGGGAUAGUCCUCCGCGCAGAGCAGUGACAUGUGCGGCCAACAGGCAUCCACAACAAGCAGCAGCAGUUCCAAAUAGGACCGACCCUUCAGCCGUGGACAGUAUCAAUCCAUCACAUCUAUCCGUCUCCAUCUGGUUUGUUCUUCACUACAUGUAGUUGUCAUGGUAUAGCAGUUAUAAAUUAUGGUGUCAAAUCUGAAAACCCUARAUCCCUCUUCUUGGGCCACGUGAAAAGCAGAUGUCACCAAUGUCCUGAUGUUCAUUCAUUGUGCAUGAUGAAACUGCAUGGCUCCAGCUGCGCUUUGAGACUUAUUUAAAAAAAAGUUAAGAAAAAAAAUGGGCAGAAGUCAUGUUCAUUAAUGAAUGAACUGUAAAAAUAUGCACCUGUCAAGAUUCAAAGAAGCCCGAAUGAAGAUUACGUGAUCAGAUGUGGGGACGUUGAGAGGCCUUUAAGAACCUGCUUGCUGUCUUGCAGAAGAAGCGUUUGUUGGAAACUGCAUUUCAAGCUCUUUGUGUUGUCGUGCUCCAAAGCCACAUUGAUCUUUAAUAUAAUCAACAUGAAGAAGUGAAACAACACUGUUAACAAUGAGUCAGAAAAGCACAAACCUAUUAAAUUAAAACCAACAAUGACAGUCAGUAUUUUAUAAAUGUGUUCGCUUUUUGUAGCCUUUUUGUUUUAUACUUGACUUUGUGCGUGAAGUGAGCUAGGCCUAAACACAUGAACUAGUGCCAACAUCAAAUGCACACAUGAAUAUGAGCGAGGCCUUUAUACAUCAUACCUUUUAUGUUGUUUUUGCAUGGGAUAACCAAACUACAUCCACGAAUAUUUUAUUCUACCACACACAUUAUAUCAGAUUAUUUUAGCACAAUACUGAAAACUGUUGUUUAAUGGGACCAGAUUUAUUAAUCAGAUUUUCCCCUCAUGUAAACAAGAGCAGCAGGUUGAGAGUUAUUCUGUUUCACAAAUGUAUUGACAGUCUAAAACCUCACUGUUUGAUGUGUUUGUCUACUUGAAAACUGUUGAUGAAAGAGUAUUAAUAGUUUAAACUAAGUGAGCCUCUGUGAGUACUGUUCCUGUCUGAAUGAAAUUGAAAGAAACUGAAUGGAGAGAAUAUUCUUCGGUGUUCCUAUGAGGACUGUAUAUACAGUACAUUAGAAAUGCUGAUAUGCAUWUCGACAUUUAUGACUUUUGUUCCAAAAUCUGGGUUUUUAACAAUUUGUAUGAAUUAUGUCAACAUGUUGAAAAUUUAGAAGUGGUUGCUUAAUUUAGAUUUCUGAAACAAUGUAAUCUGCAUUCUAUGUAUUGACUUUUACCCACUGAAAUCUCUUCAUGUAUAUUACUGACUAUUGUAUAUGUCUGCAUAUCCAUGACAGAAACUUCAACACAAACACUACUGACAUAUGUAUGAUUCAUUAUUUUCUUGUCUAUAAAUAUGCCUUUUCUUUAUAAUGUUGGUGCUUUUGCAUCUCUUCAAUGUGAACAGAAUUAUGUGCCAUCAGAUUCAUGAGUCAACCUUUGUAUGACAGAAAAAAAAAUCCUUCAGAUGUCAAGUAAUCAAACUCUUUAUUAGCACAGCUCUCAUUAUAUUUCUUGUGAGAAGUUUGGACAUAUUUUAGCCGAACAUAUACAUAAGUGCUAUUGUACAGUGGUACUUUAAUUGUGAAGUUUGUUGUGUAAUGUGAGCUAUCUGUACGAUGUGGUCUGGUAUGAGUUAAUAAAAACAAACCAACAAUGA